rnacentral:lncRNA from 1 species
GAACUGUGUAUGAACAUCUGUGUUUGUCUUUGUUGUCUGAUAAAUCCAAUACAAUCCAAGAUGAGGUAACUUGUCUGGCAACAGCCUGAAUGUGAUUGCAGCAGAGUUCAUCAUAUAGGCUAUAAAAGCAGGUGCAACCAGGUCACAGCCAGACGUUUUCCUUAAUUCUCACUGGAAAGCAUCAACACCUCAAAGAGAAGCCAUGAAGCCAGUGAUCGUGCUGUACGUUGCGCUGAUGAUGAUUGCACUGGUGUGCAAUGCUUAUGCUGCAUGUCACAAUGGAAGAUGUGCCCGGAAAUGUAGUAAUAAUGAAUAUAUAGACCAUGGCUCAUACUGUGGGGGUGGAAAUGUAUGCUGUGUUGAAAACGGCAAUUGAAGAACAUCCGUGAAGGAAGACUGUGUGGAUCAAGCAACAUUACAUUCUUCCAUUUAAGUUUUGGUCAAAACAGUCAGACACUUACACAAGAGAUGGAUUAAUCAUGAUUUGUGUUUAAGCCUGUUUGAUGCCAGUUUGAAUAAAAUGAAAUAUCACAACUAUGAGUAUCUGUGA